UUGGAGAAGUCAUCUUUGGAGAUUAUAAUCCUGGUGGAAGACUAGCAAUGACUUGGUAUCCUGAGGCAUUCACCAGCAUACUCAUGAAUGAUAUGAACUUGCGGGCUGACCCUUCUCGUGAUUAUCCUGGAAGAACCUACAGAUUUUACACUUGACAUAGAGUCUAUGGAUUUGGACAAGGUCUAAGCUACACCAAUUAUACCUACAAGUUCUUAUCAGCACCAAACAAAAUAAGUUUUUUGGGACCUCUCAAGUCUGAUUCCAGCAAAAAUGUACCGCACGAGGUAGGAGAUGAACUUGGUUUUAUUCACAUUGAUGAGGUGGAAUCUUGCAAUUCACUAAGAUUUUCUGUGCAAAUUUCUGUUAUGAACCUGGGUGAUAUGGAUGGAAGCCAUGUUGUGAUGUUGUUCUCUAAAGUGCCAAAAAAAUUUAAAGGCACUCCAUUUAAAAAGCUAGUUGGAUUUAAUCGUGUGCAUACCUUGUCACAUGGAUCUACUAAAACAAGCAUCUUAGUAGAUCCUUGUCAACA